rnacentral:lncRNA from 1 species
CCGGAGGCAGGAGGGGAGUGGAGGGUGGCGUUUCCACGGCACAGCGGUCAUGGGACAAAGUUGGACGGAAAUUGCACUUGAGGAUGCUCCCUGGCCAAGGCCAAGUCGCCUGGGGAGGAAGGACAGACUUCCUGGAUGGACACUGGGACGCCGAGCCCUGGGGAGGAGGGCAAGGGUGGAGGCUGUGGUGUUGCUGGGGCCGUGGGGUCUCUCCAGGCCGUGGGCCAGGACCUCUGACAAAGCCCGAACAGAGCAUGGUGUCAGGAGCGCGUGCUGGAUGGGGAAGCAGAGGGAUGUGGAAGCCCUGGCUGGGUGAAGGCUGUGGUGUCUGCCCGCCCCACGGCCCACAGAGUCACCGAUUACGGGAACAUCCAACGUACCAUCCUGAGCUUGUGGGGCCUAAGGGCCCGUUUCCACCACCUGCUGUGUGAUCUUGGGCUACCUACAUCGCCUCUCUGAGUCUUGUUUUCCUCAUUUGCAACUGAAGAUAAUAAUAGUAUCUAAAUCAAUUAUGAGGAUGAAAUGAGUUAACUCAUGUAAAGUGCUUAGCACAGAGUAAGUACUAAAUGAAGAUUGCUACUGCAAGACUGGGCGGGUGGAUAAUUCAUGCUUUUGCUCCAAGAUCCCUUAUAUCCUCCACAAAUGGGUCACUCUUGCCAGGGGACAAGCUCCCUGGGGACACAUCUUACCACCGUAAAGCUGUAGCAUUAUAAGAACACAAAAAGGCAGGCCAGCCUGACCAACAUGGAGAAGCCCUGCCUCUACUAAAAAUACAAAAUUAGCCAGGCUUGGUGGCGUAUGCCUGUAAUCCCAGCUACUCGGGAGGCCGAGGCAGGAGAAUUGCUUGAACCCGGGAGGCGGAAGUUGCGGUGAGCCAAGAUCACGCCAUUGCACUCCAGCCGGGGCAAUGAGCGAAACUCCGUCUCAAAAAAAAAGAAAAAUAAAAAAGCAACUUAAAACCCUAUCUGGCCUCUUUGCUGUCUUAAAAAACACAAACAUCAUGAAUGGGGCUAAGCAUCUGGUCCGGUGUC